rnacentral:rRNA from 1 species
CCGUGCCCAAGAGAUCGGGAUAACACCUGGAAACAGAUGCUAAUACCGGAUAAUAACAGAUGAUGCCUAUCAACUGUUUAAAAGAUGGUUCUGCUAUCACUCUUGGAUGGACCUGCGGUGCAUUAGCUAGUUGGUAGGGUAACGGCCUACCAAGGCGAUGAUGCAUAGCCGAGUUGAGAGACUGAUCGGCCACAUUGGGACUGAGACACGGCCCAAACUCCUACGGGAGGCAGCAGCG